rnacentral:rRNA from 1 species
UACGGAGGAUGCGAGCGUUAUCCGGAUUUAUUGGGUUUAAAGGGUGCGUAGGCGGCUUUUUAAGUCAGCGGUGAAAUUUUGCAGCUUAACUGUAACAGUGCCGUUGAUACUGUUUGGCUAGGAUUUGGUUGUAGUGUGCGGAAUGUGUGGUGUAGCGGUGAAAUGCUUAGAUAUCACACAGAACACCGAUUGCGAAGGCAGCACACAAAGCCAAGAUUGACGCUGAGGCACGAAAGUGUGGGGAUCAAACAGGAUUAGAUA